rnacentral:rRNA from 1 species
GGAUCAAGAGGGUGCUAGACUCGGCCUGAAGUAUUUAUUGAAUGUUGUCACACUGCCCAUAGAGGGUGUAAGGCCCGUAAGGCCGGCGUCUAGAUUACCUCGCUGGUUCCUCUCGAGAGUCGGGUUGCUUGAAAGUGCAGCCCUAAGUAGGUGGUAAACUCCAUCUAAGGCUAAAUAUUCCCACGAGACCGAUAGCGAACAAGUACCGCGAGGGAAAGUUGAAAAGAACUUUGAAAAGAGAGUUCAAUAGAGCGUGAAACUACCACGAGGCUAAAGCGAGUGAGCGUACGUAUCCGAACGGUUUGAUUCAGUCCGCCCGAGCACGAUGAGCAGUGGGGGGUCGUAAUACGUCAUUAACGGAUCUCCCGAAAGGAUCCGAGCUUUACGCUCGGCCUCUAGGGUGACCGGCGUAUCCUCCGCUUUGCUCUGUAGGGGGACGCAUUUCCGGCCGAAGUAGGGCGUCGCGGCCGUUUCGGGGGUGUCUAAGACACGGGGGUCUUGGAAUCCGCAUCUUCUCGUCCCGGCGCGCUCUACCGCCUCGCCUUCGCGGAGGGGCGGCAUCACGCCGGGGUCGCGAGUCGAGCGGGGCCGCCUCGUUGAUCUGACGGCCUC